GUCACUGCUAUCGGGGUUCGAUUAAGCCAUGCGAGUCGAGAGGGUUCGGCCCUCGGCGUACUGCUCAGUAACACGUGGAUAACCUGCCCUAGGGAAUGGGAUAACCCCGGGAAACUGGGGAUAAUACCCUAUAGAUUACAGAUGCUGGAAUGCCCUGUAAUCCAAAGUUCCGACGCCCUAGGAUGGAUCUGCGGCCGAUUAGGUUGUUGUUGGGGUAAUGGCCCAACAAGCCCGUAAUCGGUACGGGUUGUGGGAGCAAGAGCCCGGAGUUGGAUUCUGAAACACGAAUCCAGGCCCUACGGGGCGCAGCAGGCGCGAAAACUUUACAAUGCGGGCAACCGUGAUAAGGGAACCUCGAGUGCCUGUAAAUGCAGGCUGUUCAGGUGCCUAAAACACACCUGAAGAAAGGGCCGGGCAAGACCGGUGCCAGCCGCCGCGGUAAUACCGGCGGCUCGAGUGGUGGCCGCUUUUAUUGGGCUUAAAGCGUUCGUAGCUGGGUUGUUAAGUCUCUUGGGAAAUCUGGCGGCUUAACCGUCAGGCGUCUAAGGGAUACUGGCAAUCUUGGAACCGGGAGAGGUGAGGGGUACUUCGGGGGUAGGAGUGAAAUCCUGUAAUCCUCGAGGGACCACCUGUGGCGAAGGCGCCUCACCAGAACGGCUUCGACAGUGAGGGACGAAAGCUGGGGGAGCAAACCGGAUUAGAUACCCGGGUAGUCCCAGCCGUAAACUAUGCGCGUUAGGUGUAUCGGUGACCACGAGUUACCGAGGUGCCGAAGGGAAACCGUGAAACGUGCCGCCUGGGAAGUACGGUCGCAAGGCUGAAACUUAAAGGAAUUGGCGGGGGAGCACCACAACAGGUGGAGCCUGCGGUUUAAUUGGACUCAACGCCGGGAAGCUCACCGGAUAAGACAGCAGAAUGAUUGCCGGGCUGAAGACUCUGCAUGACUAGCUGAGAGGAGGUGCAUGGCCGUCGUCAGUUCGUACUGUGAAGCAUCCUGUUAAGUCAGG
rnacentral:rRNA from 1 species